rnacentral:miRNA from 1 species
CAUGCCAUUUGCAAAAGUAAACAACCCAAGGUAUUACAAAUGGGGUAUGUCCAGUCUUUUUAAGUAGCCACUUAGUCACAAACAUUGGCCAAAAUUAGCAUUAGAAUUAGUUUUUUGCAAUUUUCACACACAAACAAAUAUGAACGCUAACUUUGGCCAGUGUUUGUGACUAAGUGGCUACUUAAAAAGACUGGACAUACCCCAUUUGCAAAACCUUGGGUUGCCUACUUUUGUAAAUGGAAUG